rnacentral:rRNA from 1 species
AACAAAAACAUGUCUUUUUGAUAAUAAUUUAAGGUUUAACCUGCCCAAUGAAUAAUUUUAAUGGCCGCAGUAAAUUGACUGUGCAAAGGUAGCAUAAUCAUUAGUUUUUUAAUUGAAAGCUGGAAUGAAUGGUUGGACGAGAUAUAAACUGUCUUAAUUUAAUUAAUAGAAUUUUAUUAUUUAGUUAAAAAGCUAAAAUAAAAAUAAAAGACGAGAAGACCCUAUAGAUCUUAAUAUUAAUAAAAUUAAAAUUAAAAAUGAAAUAUCGAUAAUUUAAUAAUAUUAAUAUUUUAUUGGGGUAAUAAGAAGAUUAAAUUAAUUCUUUAAUUUUAAACAUUGAUUGAUGAAAUUAAAAAUUGAUCCUUUAUAAAGAUUAAAAGAAUAAGUUACCUUAGGGAUAACAGCGUAAUUUUUUUGGAGAGUUCAUAUUGAUAAAAAAGUUUGCGACCUCGAUGUUG